rnacentral:rRNA from 1 species
GCGGCUGCUAUACAUGCAGUCGAGCGAACAGAUAAGGAGCUUGCUCCUUUGACGUUAGCGGCGGACGGGUGAGUAACACGUGGGUAACCUACCUAUAAGACUGGGAUAACUUCGGGAAACCGGAGCUAAUACCGGAUAACAUUUGGAACCGCAUGGUUCUAAAGUGAAAGAUGGUUUUGCUAUCACUUAUAGAUGGACCCGCGCCGUAUUAGCUAGUUGGUAAGGUAACGGCUUACCAAGGCAACGAUACGUAGCCGACCUGAGAGGGUGAUCGGCCACACUGGAACUGAGACACGGUCCAGACUCCUACGGGAGGCAGCAGUAGGGAAUCUUCCGCAAUGGGCGAAAGCCUGACGGAGCAACGCCGCGUGAGUGAUGAAGGGUUUCGGCUCGUAAAACUCUGUUAUUAGGGAAGAACAAAUGUGUAAGUAACUGUGCACAUCUUGACGGUACCUAAUCAGAAAGCCACGGCUAACUACGUGCCAGCAGCCGCGGUAAUACGUAGGUGGCAAGCGUUAUCCGGAAUUAUUGGGCGUAAAGCGCGCGUAGGCGGUUUCUUAAGUCUGAUGUGAAAGCCCACGGCUCAACCGUGGAGGGUCAUUGGAAACUGGGAAACUUGAGUGCAGAAGAGGAAAGUGGAAUUCCAUGUGUACCGGUGAAAUG